AACGAACGCUGGCGGCAUGCCUAACACAUGCAAGUCGAACGAGACCUUCGGGUCUAGUGGCGCACGGGUGCGUAACGCGUGGGAACCUGCCCUUAGGUUCGGAAUAACUCCCCGAAAGGGGUGCUAAUACCGGAUAAUGUCUUCGGACCAAAGAUUUAUCGCCUUUGGUUGGGCCCGCGUUGGAUUAGCUAGUUGGUAGGGUAAAAGCCUACCAAGGCGACGAUCCAUAGCUGGUCUGAGAGGAUGAUCAGCCACACUUGGACUGGGACACGGCCCAGACUCCUACGCGAGGCAGGAGUGGGGAAUGUUGGACCAUGGGGGAAAGCCUGAUCCAGCAAGGCCGCGUGAGUGAUGAAGGCCUUAGGGUUGUAAAGCGCUUUUACCCGGGAUCAUAAUGACAGUACCGGGAGAAUAAGCUCCGGCUAACUCCGUG
rnacentral:rRNA from 1 species